GGCCAGCCGGAUGGACAAUGCUGGUGCUACCAGGGUGUCUCCUGUGGCUGUGACAAAACGUGCUCCUGGCCCUGCACAGGGGCUUCCAGACCUGUUUUCUCGUCUGCUGCUAUCAAGAACCCGGCAAGCUUGUGGCUGAGGCUUCACACCAAGAGGCCAGGGACCACCCAUCCCCAAGGCUCUUGGGUCACUAGUUCCCAAGACUGCCUUUAUGUCAGAAUCAUCUGGGGAGAAUCAUAAAGUAUAGAUUCCCAACCUUCCCCUCACAUCUACAGUCUCAGAAUCUUUGGAAAUGGAGUCUGGAAAUCUGUAUUGGAAAAUCUCCCAGGGGACUGUUCUCUGGUCUUGCAAGUGGCUCCCCUAUCUUCCAGAUCAGCUAAGGUUACUUGAGCUUUUGGCUUGUCUAUGACACCCAGGAGUGAAAUCAUAAGGGAGUUGGGCGCAUUACCAGUCUACGUAUCUUAAUCCAAGUCAGAUCACUAACACGGCACAAGGUCAGGAUGAAAGUUUAUGAGAGGACUGUAAUACACACGACUCCAUCCUUUUCCUUCAUCUAGUAUACAUCAUCUUAAAAUGGGAGUUAAUUUACUACCGUCUUUGAUGGCUUUGAUUUUUGCUUCUUUUGAUGGCACGAGAAGUACAGCUCAGUACUGAAAAACUUUCCUAUAUACAAGCAAAUGCUUACAGGGCACAGUGUUGUCUUUCUGUCUCAGAAGGUAUAAUGAUUUUCCAUUUAUUCAAGUUAUAUUUUACAACCUUGGUUGGAGUCUUAGUGUUUCUU